CGCUAAGCAAUCUUGAACCUAUUGAAUAUGUCCGAAACAUCAAACCCCACCACCUCCUAGAAUGCAAUGCACAAUCAAACAUAGUACGAGAAGACUUCGAUGGCGAUCAGUACUUGGGCUUGUUGUCGGAGUAUCGCUUGGUCUGGAGCGUCUUCAACAUGGUCUGCAGCCUCAUGGUGAUCUGCGUGAACGAUGGCCGGCUCGAGGGAUCGGCCGACCAGCACUCCUCCAUCAGUUCCCGCCACUCCGGAUCGCACCGCUCCGGUAUAGGCGGCCUCAGCGUGUUGCUCACGAUGCCCCCUUCGUGAAAAUAAUCGAAGAAAAUGGAAAAGGAUCAGUCAUUUUUAAUGGUAUUUAAUCAAGAAUGAGAGCUGCAGGCAUUUUCCAGAAGAUCACACCUAUGAUUGCACCACAAUGCAUGUUGGCAUAAGGUUCUUCGCCGGUCAACAUCUCCCACAUUGCGAUCCCGAAUGAGAAGAUAUCCACCUGAGAGGCACCGCAUUGUGUCACAAGUCUUGAUUAAUCAUGUUAUGUUAUAUGAUGAUCAUGAUUAAUUAUCGCUAACCUUCUCGGAGACGCGGUUGUUAGUACCGUUCAAGAGCUCGGGCGCCAUCCAGGGGAGCGUACCCCGGAUUCCCCCCGACACGAACGUGUUCUGUUUGAUUCUCGACAAGCCGAAAUCUGCCACCUUCGCCAGAAGAAGAAAGAGAUUUCAGACUUCCUUCCAAACCGUUCGUUAAGUUAUGCGAUUAACAGCGUGAUCAUGCAAGUAGAUUCGAGUUGAAGGCUUCAUCAUGCAUGUACCUUGCAAAUCGGUCGACGGGGAUCCUUCAAAUUGACGAGCAGAUUGUCGCACUUCAAGUCGAAAUGGACGAUGUUCUUGAAAUGCAGAUACUCCAUCCCGAAGGCCGCGUCCAUCGCUAUCAUGAGCUUUUUGCGACGGUCCAAAGCUCUGCAAGAUAGAUUAUGUCUAAGCGAGCCGUUAACCAUGAACUCGGCCACCGUCGCCAAUGUCCCACCGGGACCAUCAGGAACAACUCCAUAAAAGGCCACGACGUUGGGAUGAUGAAGAUUCGACAAGAUCUUUGCCUCUCUCCAGAAAUCUUUUGUCUCUCCGAGACUUACCAUGCGCUCUUGCUCAGACGAUCUUCCUGCAAAACAACUGUUCUUGAUUCUUUUGAUGGCAACAUCUGUCCCUCUCCAUUUGCCAUGAUAAACUGUCCCGAAUGUGCCAGAUCCUAAUUCUUGUAGUUCUUCCAGGUCGGCGUUCUUUAUGAUCUACAACAAGAACACACCACAUUUAACCA